ACCUUUCUAGAAUGGUGGUAAAGAAGGUGAUGAUUCUGAUAUGGGAUGAAUCAUUGGACGCAUUUAAGAAGUCGCAAAUGAUAGCGAUAUUUAAAAUAAUGAUAUUGGGUUUAGACUUAGAGAUGGCCUCAAAGUAGAUUAGGUUUGGAGAUCUGAAGAUCGUUGUUAUGAAUAUUGUAGCGAUUAGAUGUGGCAACAGAUCG
rnacentral:lncRNA from 1 species